GAACAACCGGCCCAUGGGCCGCCAAAUUGCAUACCUUUGGUUGGCGCUGGCUUCCUCGGCAUCCGCAUCUUAUCGUAUGCACCCGAAAACCUCGACGGACGGCACCCGGCAAGGAAGCUCGCUCUCUCACAGCUGAACCGCUUCCGGCGCACAUACGGAUUUCAACCUCAUUCCAUUAGCCCAACCUAUCCGCUGUUCGGCUCAGAAAUUCCUCCAGUUUUUAUUCCACCGGCCCCCAAAUCGGAUUUUUUUCAGGUUUAAUGGAGAAGGAUUAUUUACAAACUCAAAGUUAUGCUGCUGAUAUUUCCUCCAUAAAAGAAGCACAACUCCGUAUUGGUCCAUACAUUCACAAAACUCCAGUUCUCUCAUCAAAAUCUCUUGAUUUCAUAUCUGGGAGACAAUUGUUUUUCAAGUGUGAGUGUUUUCAGAAGGGUUCUUUAACAACAGAGAGCAACAAACAACGCUAACCGAUGAAGCAGCCAUUGCAGCACCAGCAAUCCAUGGUGGCAAGCGGAAUCUAGAAGAAGGGAAAAGAACCCCGGCAGCAAUAGGUAUGCCCAUGAUGUUGUAACCAAGAGCCCAGAUGUAGUUCAUGUGGAUCCGGGAGAAAGUUUUCCUCGAGAGAUCAAUUGCAGUUAUUACAUCCUCCAAGUUGCUCUUCAUAAGGACUAUGUCAGCAGCUUCAAUAGCAAUAUCCGUACCAGCACCUAUGGCCAUCCCAACAUCAGCAGAAACAAGUGCCGGUGAGUCAUUGAUUCCAUCGCCAACCAUGGCCACUGUCAAGCCAGACGUCUGCGAUUAACAUCAGCAUGAUAUUAGUAGAAUAUUUGUAAAAUGAUGACUUUGACACAAAACCAAGUCAAGAGUUAUCAGAUUUCUAACAGUUGGAUGUCUGUUUGUCUGUCUGC